rnacentral:rRNA from 1 species
AAGGCUGAGCUGUGAUGGGGAGAAGACAUUGUGUCUUCGAGUCGUUGAUUUCACACUGCCGAGAAAAGCCUCUAGAUAGAAAAUAGGUGCCCGUACCGCAAACCGACACAGGUAGUCAAGAUGAGAAUUCUAAGGUGAGCGAGCGAACUCUCGUUAAGGAACUCGGCAAAAUGACCCCGUAACUUCGGGAGAAGGGGUGCUCUUUAGGGUUAACGCCCAGAAGAGCCGCAGUGAAUAGGCCCAAGCGACUGUUUAUCAAAAACACAGGUCUCUGCUAAACCGUAAGGUGAUGUAUAGGGGCUGACGCCUGCCCGGUGCUGGAAGGUUAAGAGGAGUGGUUAGCUUCUGCGAAGCUACGAAUCGAAGCCCCAGUAAACGGCGGCCGUAACUAUAACGGUCCUAAGGUAGCGAAAUUCCUUGUCGGGUAAGUUCCGACCCGCACGAAAGGCGUAACGAUUUGGGCACUGUCUCAACGAGAGACUCGGUGAAAUCAUAGUACCUGUGAAGAUGCAGGUUACCCGCGACAGGACGGAAAGACCCCGUGGAGCUUUACUGUAGCCUGAUAUUGAAAUUCGGCACAGCUUGUACAGGAUAGGUAGGAGCCUUUGAAACGUGAGCGCUAGCUUACGUGGAGGCGCUGGUGGGAUACUACCCUAGCUGUGUUGGCUUUCUAACCCGCACCACUUAUCGUGGUGGGAGACAGUGUCAGGCGGGCAGUUUGACUGGGGCGGUCGCCUCCUAAAAGGUAACGGAGGCGCUCAAAGGUUCCCUCAGAAUGGUUGGAAAUCAUUCAUAGAGUGUAAAGGCAUAAGGGAGCUUGACUGCGAGACCUACAAGUCGAGCAGGGUCGAAAGACGGACUUAGUGAUCCGGUGGUUCCGCAUGGAAGGGCCAUCGCUCAACGGAUAAAAGCUACCCCGGGGAUAACAGGCUUAUCUCCCCCAAGAGUUCACAUCGACGGGGAGGUUUGGCACCUCGAUGUCGGCUCAUCGCAUCCUGGGGCUGUAGUCGGUCCCAAGGGUUGGGCUGUUCGCCCAUUAAAGCGGUACGCGAGCUGGGUUCAGAACGUCGUGAGACAGUUCGGUCCCUAUCCGUCGUGGGCGUAGGAAAUUUGAGAGGAGCUGUCCUUAGUACGAGAGGACCGGGAUGGACAUACCUCUGGUGUACCAGUUGUCGUGCCAACGGCAUAGCUGGGUAGCUAUGUGUGGACGGGAUAAGUGCUGAAAGCAUCUAAGCAUGAAGCCCCCCUCAAGAUGAGAUUUCCCAACUUCGGUUAUAAGAUCCCUCAAAGAUGAUGAGGUUAAUAGGUUCGAGGUGGAAGCAUGGUGACAUGUGGAGCUGACGAAUACUAAUCGAUCGAAGACUUAAUCAAAA